rnacentral:rRNA from 1 species
AUUGAACGCUGGCGGCAGGCCUAACACAUGCAAGUCGAGCGGCAGCGGGAAAGUAGCUUGCUACUUUUGCCGGCGAGCGGCGGACGGGUGAGUAAUGCCUGGGGAUCUGCCCAGUCGAGGGGGAUAACUACUGGAAACGGUAGCUAAUACCGCAUACGCCCUACGGGGGAGAGCAGGGGACCUUCGGGCCUUGCGCGAUUGGAUGAACCCAGGUGGGAUUAGCUAGUUGGUGAGGCAAUGGCUCACCAAGGCGACGAUCCCUAGCUGGUCUGAGAGGAUGACCAGCCACACUGGAACUGAGACACGGGCCAGACUCCUACGGGAGGCAGCAGUGGGGAAUAUUGCACGAUGGGGGAAACCCUGAUGCAGCCAUGCCGCGUGUGUGAAGAAGGCCUUCGGGUUGUAAAGCACUUUCAGCGAGGAGGAAAGGUUGGUAGCUAAUAACUGCCAGCUGUGACGUUACUCGCAGAAGAAGCACCGGCUAACUCCGUGCCAGCCGCCGCAGUAAGAC